GACGAACGCUGGCGGCGUGCCUAAUACAUGCAAGUAGAACGCAGUUGCGAACGGGUGAGUAACGCGUAGGUAACUGCCUCAUAGCGGGGGAUAACUAUUGGAAACGAUAGCUAAUACCGCAUACUGUGAGAUUGACCUGCGUUGUAUUAGCUAGUUGGUGAGGUAAAUGCUCACCAAGGCGACGAUACAUAGCCGACCUGAGAGGGUGAGUGGCCAAAAUGGGAACUGGGCACGGCCCAGACUCCCAACGGAGGCCGGAGGUAGGGAUUUUCGGGAAUGGACGGAAGGCUGAACGAGGAAAGGCGGGGGAGGGGAGAAGGGUUUUGGAACCGAAAGCUUCUGUGGUAGAGAAGCGGUAACUAACCAGAAAGGGACGGCUAACUACGUGCCAGCAGCCGCGGUAAUUC
rnacentral:rRNA from 1 species